GAUGAACGCUAGCGGGAGGCCUAACACAUGCAAGCCGAGCGGUAGAGUCUCUUCGGAGACUUGAGAGCGGCGCACGGGUGCGGAACACGUGUGCAACCUGCCUUUAUCUGGGGGAUAGCCUUUCGAAAGGAAGAUUAAUACCCCAUAAUAUAUUGAUUGGCAUCGAUUGAUAUUGAAAACUCCGGUGGAUAAAGAUGGGCACGCGCAAGAUUAGAUAGUUGGUGAGGUAACGGCUCACCAAGUCGAUGAUCUUUAGGGGGCCUGAGAGGGUGAUCCCCCACACUGGUACUGAGACACGGACCAGACUCCUACGGGAGGCAGCAGUGAGGAAUAUUGGACAAUGGGUGAGAGCCUGAUCCAGCCAUCCCGCGUGAAGGAUUAAGGACCUAUGGUUUGUAAACUUCUUUUGUACAGGGAUAAACCUACUUACGUGUAAGUAGCUGAAGGUACUGUACGAAUAAGCACCGGCUAACUCCGUGCCAGCAGCCGCGGUAAUACGGAGGGUGCAAGCGUUAUCCGGAUUUAUUGGGUUUAAAGGGUCCGUAGGCGGAUUUAUAAGUCAGUGGUGAAAGCCUAUCGCUUAACGAUAGAACUGCCAUUGAUACUGUAAGUCUUGAGUGUAGUUGAGGUAGCUGGAAUAAGUAGUGUAGCGGUGAAAUGCAUAGAUAUUACUUAGAACACCAAUUGCGAAGGCAGGUUACCAAGUUACAACUGACGCUGAGGGACGAAAGCGUGGGGAGCGAACAGGAUUAGAUACCCUGGUAGUCCACGCCGUAAACGAUGCUAACUCGUUUUUGGAUUUUCGGAUUCAGAGACCAAGCGAAAGUGAUAAGUUAGCCACCUGGGGAGUACGAACGCAAGUUUGAAACUCAAAGGAAUUGACGGGGGCCCGCACAAGCGGUGGAUUAUGUGGUUUAAUUCGAUGAUACGCGAGGAACCUUACCAAGACUUAAAUGGGAACUGACAGAUUUAGAAAUAGAUCUUCCUUCGGGCAGUUUUCAAGGUGCUGCAUGGUUGUCGUCAGCUCGUGCCGUGAGGUGUUAGGUUAAGUCCUGCAACGAGCGCAACCCCUGUCACUAGUUGCCAUCAUUCAGUUGGGGACUCUAGUGAGACUGCCUACGCAAGUAGAGAGGAAGGUGGGGAUGACGUCAAAUCAUCACGGCCCUUACGUCUUGGGCCACACACGUAAUACAAUGGCCGGUACAGAGGGCAGCUACACAGCGAUGUGAUGCGAAUCUCGAAAGCCGGUCUCAGUUCGGAUUGGAGUCUGCAACUCGACUCUAUGAAGCUGGAAUCGCUAGUAAUCGCGCAUCAGCCAUGGCGCGGUGAAUACGUUCCCGGGCCU
rnacentral:rRNA from 1 species